UACGAAGGGGGGCUAGCGUUGUUCGGAAUUACUGGGCGUAAAGCGAGCGUAGGUGGCUCGAUGUGUCAGUGGUGAAAUCCCGGGGCUUAACCUCGGAACUGCCAUUGAAACUAUCGAGCUGGAAUCUCAGAGGGGGUAGCGGAAUUCCAAAAUGUAGAGGUGAAAAUUCGUAGAUAUUUUGGAGGAACACCGGUGGCGAAGGCGGCUACCUGGCUGAGUAUUGACACUGAGGCUCGAAAAGCGUGGGGGAUCAAACAGG
rnacentral:rRNA from 1 species